UUUGGGCGGUUAUGAACUAUGAAAUCUUCACAUAUCAGACUUCAGAGAUUUCUCUAGAAAUCCUUGGGAAGAUAAUUCUAUUGUCUGAGCUGAUA
rnacentral:snoRNA from 1 species